rnacentral:rRNA from 1 species
CAUCAUCAAAGCUUGCUUUGAUGGAUGGCGACCGGCGCACGGGUGAGUAACGCGUAUGCAACCUGCCCGAUACCGGGGUAUAGCCCAUGGAAACGUGGAUUAACACCCCAUAGUACUUUUAUCCUGCAUGGGAUGUGAGUUAAAUGUUCAAGGUAUCGGAUGGGCAUGCGUCCUAUUAGUUAGUUGGCGGGGUAACAGCCCACCAAGACGAUGAUAGGUAGGGGUUCUGAGAGGAAGGUCCCCACAUUGGAACUGAGACACGGUCCAAACUCC